AGACCAUGAUGAGGAUAGCGCCUAAGUAAGUCCUUGUAUCUCUCCCAGGCUUCGUACAAUGACUCACCAUCAAACUGUGUAAACGAAGUAAUAUCGUUCCUCAUCUU
rfam:Theobroma cacao cultivar Matina 1-6 chromosome 5, whole genome shotgun sequence.